GCCCGGCUAGCUCAAUCGGUAGAGCGUGAGACUCUUAAUCUCAAGGUUGGGGGUUCGACCCCCCCCCCAUUGGGCU